UACGGGGGGGGCAAGCGUUGUUCGGAAUUACUGGGCGUAAAGGGUUUGUAGGUGGCUUGCUAAGUCAGACGUGAAAUCCCUCAGCUUAACUGGGGAACUGCGUCUGAGACUGGCAAGCUUGAGUGCAGGAGAGGAACGCGGAAUUCCAGGUGUAGCGGUGAAAUGCGUAGAUAUCUGGAGGAAUACCGGUGGCGAAGGCGGCAUCCUGGACCGGCAUUGACGCUGAGGAGCGAAAGCUAGGGGAGCAAACGGG
rnacentral:rRNA from 1 species